AGCGAACGCUGGCGGCAGGCUUAACACAUGCAAGUCGAGCGGGCACUUACGGAUGUCAGCCGCGUACGGGUGGGUAACGCGUGGGGACGGGGCCUCUGGUUCGGAAUAACUCAGGGAAACUUGAGCUCAUACCGGAUACGCCCCUUUUGGGACAGGCUGGCUGCCGGAGGAGCGGCCCGCGCCUGAUUAGCUAGGCGAUGAGGUAACGGGUCACCAAAGCGACGAUCAGUAGCUGGGCUGAGAGGAUGAUCAGCCACACUGGGACUGAGACACGGCCCAGACUCCUACGGGAUGGAGCAGUGGGGAAUAUUGGACAAUGGGCGCAAGCCUGAUGCAGCCAUGCCGCGUGAGUGAUGAAGGCCUUAGAGUUGUAAAGCUCUUUUAUCCGGGACGAUAAUGACGGUACCGGAGGAAUAAGCCCCGGCUAACUUCGUG
rnacentral:rRNA from 1 species